GAUGAAGAACGUAGCGAAAUGCGAUAAGUAAUGUGAAUUGCAGAAUUCAGUGAAUCAUCGAAUCUUUGAACGCACAUUGCGCCCGCCAGUAUUCUGGCGGGCAUGCCUGUUCGAGCGUCAUUUCAAACAUCAAGCCCCAGGCUUGUGUUGGGGACCUGCGGCUGCCGCAGGCCCUGAAAACCAGUGGCGGGCUCGCUGUCACACCGGGCGUAGUAGAUUUUAUCUCGCUCAGGGCGUGCUGCGGGUUCCGGCCGUUAAAAAGCCUUUUUUACCCAAGGUUGACCUCGGAUCAGGUAGGAAGACCCGCUGAACUUAAGCAUAUCAAUAAGCGGAGGA
rnacentral:misc_RNA from 1 species